AGCGCCUGUCAGGCCAAGGCUACUGUUUCUCUGCGUCCCUGCCUCCCAUGCUAGCUGCUGCUGCCAUAGAGGCCCUCAGCAUCAUGCAAGAGAAUCCAGACAUAUUCACCGUUCUGAGGAAGAAAUGCACAUAUGUUUACAAAGAAU